CUGGCAUCCACUAUUCUACUUUCUGUCUCUAUGAGUUUGACCACUCUAGAGUCAUCAUAAGUAAUUUUAUGAUAAACGAAUAUUGUACUAUCCUGGGAAGCUGAAAGAGAGCCACGCAUCCAUCCAUUCGUCCUGCCUCCAAAUCCUACCCAUGUUUUCCCACAGAAUCUGGACUGCACUGAAACCUGGAAAACAACAGACGCUGUUGGAUCGGGAAAUAUCUGACGGCAAACAGCACCAGGAGAGUUACCAGUGAGGGAGAUACUCUCACCAUCGUCUGUUUCAUAGAUGAGGACACUGCCAAGGAUUUGCGUGCAUCACACAGCUCACGGCUGUCAGAGCUGGAAGUGGAGUGCGUUUCCACCUUGAGAAGCACACCAACACCUUUUUGUUUUCUUCUGUCUUUAAACGUAACUCCUUUCCAUGUGUAAAAAUUAAAUCAGGCUGGGUGCGG
rnacentral:lncRNA from 1 species